rnacentral:tRNA from 1 species
GCCGGAGUGGCGGAAUCGGCAGACGCACGGGACUUAAAAUCCCGGGUCGGCAACGGCGUGCGGGUUCAAGUCCCGCCUUCGGCACCA